rnacentral:rRNA from 1 species
GACGAACGCUGGCGGCGUGCUUAACACAUGCAAGUCGAACGGAAAGGCCCUGCUUUUGUGGGGUGCUCGAGUGGCGAACGGGGGAGUAACACGUGAGUAACCGGCCCUGGACUUUGGGAUAACUUCAGGAAACUGGGGCUAAUACCGGAUAGGAGCUCCUGCUGCAUGGUGGGGGUUGGAAAGUUUCGGCGGUUGGGGAUGGACUCGCGGCUUAUCAGCUUGUUGGUGGGGUAGUGGCUUACCAAGGCUUUGACGGGUAGCCGGCCUGAGAGGGUGACCGGCCACAUUGGGACUGAGAUACGGCCCAGACUCCUACGGGAGGCAGCAGUGGGGAAUAUUGCACAAUGGGCGGAAGCCUGAUGCAGCAACGCCGCGUGCGGGAUGACGGCCUUCGGGUUGUAAACCGCUUUCGCCUGUGACGAAGCGUGAGUGACGGUAAUGGGUAAAGAAGCACCGGCUAACUACGUG